CUGUGUGUGAUUAAAGUACAAUUUACAAAGUAGAGAUACAAACUUUAACUUUUUUCUUCAUGCAGGCUGUGUCAAUCACAACCAGGGGGGGAGUGGCUAGGGCUGCAUAAACAGAAACAAAAGUGAUUAACUCCUAAAUGGCAGGGAACUGAGCAGUGAAACUGCAGGGAAAUGAUCUAUAUACCAACACUGCUUCAUUAAGCUAAAGUUGUUUUGGUGACUAUAG